rnacentral:rRNA from 1 species
AGAACGAACGCUGGCGGCAUGCCUAAUACAUGCAAGUCGAACGAAGGCUUCGGCCUUAGUGGCGCACGGGUGCGUAACGCGUGGGAAUCUGCCCCUUGGUUCGGAAUAACAGUUGGAAACGACUGCUAAUACCGGAUGAUGACGAAAGUCCAAAGAUUUAUCGCCAAGGGAUGAGCCCGCGUAGGAUUAGCUAGUUGGUGAGGUAAAGGCUCACCAAGGCGACGAUCCUUAGCUGGUCUGAGAGGAUGAUCAGCCACACUGGGACUGAGACACGGCCCAGACUCCUACGGGAGCAGCAGUAGGGAAUAGUUGGACAAGUGGGACGAAAGCCUGAUCCAGCAAUGACGCGUGAGUGAUGAAGGUCCUUAGGGUUAGUAAAGCUUCUUUUAACCCGAGUA